rnacentral:rRNA from 1 species
AGCGGCGGACGGGUGAGUAACGCGUGGGAAUAUGCCCUUCUCUAAGGAAUAGCCUCGGGAAACUGAGAGUAAUACCUUAUACGCCCUUCGGGGGAAAGAUUUAUCGGAGAGGGAUUAGCCCGCGUUAGAUUAGGUAGUUGGUGGGGUAAUGGCCUACCAAGCCUACGAUCUAUAGCUGGUUUGAGAGGAUGAUCAGCCACACUGGGACUGAGACACGGCCCAGACUCCUACGGGAGGCAGCAGUAGGGAAUCUUAGACAAUGGGGGAAACCCUGAUCUAGCCAUGCCGCGUGUGUGAUGAAGGCCUUAGGGUCGUAAAGCACUUUCGCCAGAGAUGAUAAUGACAGUAUCUGGUAAAGAAACCCCGGCUAACUCCGUGCCAGCAGCCGCGGUAAUACGGAGGGGGUUAGCGUUGUUCGGAAUUACUGGGCGUAAAGCGUACGUAGGCGGAUUAGUAAGUUAGAGGUGAAAUCCCAGGGCUCAACCCUGGAACUGCCUUUAAUACUGCUAGUCUUGAGUUCGAGAGAGGUAAGUGGAAUUCCGAGUGUAGAGGUGAAAUUCGUAGAUAUUCGGAGGAACACCAGUGGCGAGGGCGGCUUACUGGCUCGAUACUGACGCUGAGUACGAAAGUGUGGGGAGCAAACAGAUAAGAUACCCUGGUAGUCCACACCGU